UAGGUAGUCAAGAGUACUUCUAAUCCGGUCAUCGCUUUUAAGAUUAUCAGUAUUCACACAAGGGUGCAUCGAGGCCCUUCAGCAGGUGCUCGUGUGUAACCUUUACAUGACCAAUCCUCAGCCUGUGUGUUUUGACCAUAUCUGCUCUGGACAUAUGUUUAAUGUAAAACAUUCCCCUUACUUGCCGUUUUAUUGUGAUAUGUAAAUGCGUCCGUUUUUUCCAUCACGUCAACGUCUACUUGUGGAUGUUCAGAAGCUUCUCGUGCUGUUCUGUCUGCAAGGUCGUUGCCUGGUAUACCUGCGUGUCCUGGCACCCAAAUAAAUAUGAUGGAUACAUUUUUGUUGUUUAGGUUUAAUAGUUCUGAUUGGGCCAGUUUAGUUAAAGCAUUAUUGGAAUAAAUUUGUGUUAAGUCUGUUAAUGCAUUUAUAUUAUCGCUUGCAAUAAUAAAUCUUUGAGUUUCAGACAACGAGGAACAGUGCUGAAGAGCUUUCCAGAUGGCAUAUCUUUCUGCGAAUCCUAUAGUCGACUGCGGAUUUAAGGUCCAUUUAUUUGUUAUCUGCGAGGCGAUCGCACAUCCUACUCCAUUUCCAGAUUU